GUGUCAGCAGCCGCGGUAAUACGGAGGGGGUUAGCGUUGUUCGGAAUUACUGGGCGUAAAGCGCGCGUAGGCGGACAUUUAAGUCAGGGGUGAAAUCCCGGGGCUCAACCCCGGAACUGCCCUUGAUACUGGGUGUCUUGAGUUCGAGAGAGGUGAGUGGAAUUCCGAGUGUAGAGGUGAAAUUCGUAGAUAUUCGGAGGAACACCAGUGGCGAAGGCGGCUCACUGGCUCGAUACUGACGCUGAGGUGCGAAAGUGUGGGGAGCAAACAGGAUUAGAUACCCUGGUAGUCCACACCGUAAACGAUGAAUGCCAGACGUCGGGCAGUAUACUGUUCGGUGUCACACCUAACGGAUUAAGCAUUCCGCCUGGGGAGUACGGUCGCAAGAUUAAAACUUAAAUGAAUUGACGGGG
rnacentral:rRNA from 1 species